UUUGGGGACUCAUUUCUACUAAUAAGUGUCAGUGUGCUGGUGAGAUAAACCUGCCACAUUAGAUGGCAGUCCUUUGCAGAAAUAACAAACCACAUUGUCUUAUCAUGCAGAGAUGCCCAUAAAAUGAUGAGUAUGCAGUGAUUUCUCCUGAUGAAUGAUUAAGAGCCCUUUCCAGAGUUUCAGCUCUCCACUGGUCUCUGUCUCAAGGCUGUUUUGGGCGAGUUCCAACAAACCAGUCAACAUAUUACUUGUGGUGUUUAUCUUUGGAUGUUUAUGUGUCCUUUUAAAUUUAAUUUGAAAUAAUGUAUAUAUAUUUGGUGUGCAAUAUGAUCUUGUGAUAUUUGUGUGCAUUGCAGACGUAUAUGUUUUUAAAAAUACAUAUUGUUAUUUUAUGUGUGAGUUUGACAUGAUAGUAUUGUGCUAUAGAACUUAUUCAUUUUUUAAUAUCUAGGAACUGUUCAUGUCUAUAUUGUUUCCAAUUAGUGGAUAAUAUCACUUGGUACAUAUUCACCACAAUCACUUUCAGAUUUCCUAGUUAUGGACAUUUGAGUUACCUCCAAGCAGCACCAUUGUGAGUAUGCUGGACCAGUUCCUUUAGUUUUAUACAUAGAGUGGGAUUUCUAUAUCAUCACAUGGACAAGAAUUAUUCUAGAAAAAGGCAGUUGUCAGCAGUACAUGAACUUUCAUGUUUCCAAGUUUCUAAAUUUUAUAAUCUCUUGGCAUUAAAAAGAAUAUCAUAAUUAUUUUAAUUUAUUUUUCUCUGAUGUUUAGUGAGGCUAAUAUCUCUACAUAUUAAAAUUUUAUGCUGUCAAUGCGUAUCAUUUUUAAAAUUUCUUGACUUUUUUCCUUUUAUAAGAAUUCCAUCUAUAUUUUCAAUACUAACCCUUUGUCAGUUUUAAAUAUUUUCAACUAUUUUCCAUUAAUCAGUCAUUCACAUUUUAACUUCAUUUAUGAUAUGUUUUUUGGCCAAAAAAUUACCAUGAAUUUAACAAAUACACAUCAUGUUUUCAACAUGACACCUUGGUUCUUGGAGUUUUAUUUAAUUUCUUCCACAUAGACAUUUAGGAAGAUAUUGUUUUAAAAAACUUUUUAUAUGUUUUCCCUGAUCGACGACAACUAACUGAGCACCAAAGGGGAAACCUGUUGAAGUGAAAUGGACACUAUGAGAAACUGUGACUUGAUCAGCUCUUGUUCUGACUGUUGAUGUACAAUGUAAUACUUUAUCCAUUUUAGUAUUUUCUCUUUGUUUUGUUCUAGUACUAUUGGUUGAACUCUGUAAUUAACACACAAUUAUUCUUAGGUGUUUAAAUUUUAACUGAAAAGUGAUCCCUGUUAAAUAUAAGAGUGGGAAUAGAGAGGGAGGAGAUGUACAAUUUGGGACAUGCUCAAUUGGACUUGCCCCAAAUGGUGGAGUUAGAAUCGUGCCAGGGGAUCCCAAUACAAUCAAGGUGGCAUGUACCAAUGCCAUCUCACUAGUCCAAGUGAUCAAUUUCAGUUCACAAUUGAUCACACUGAUAGGUCUAAGAGUCAAAGGGAUCACACAAACAAGACUAGUGUUUGCUAAUACUAACUGAUAGAAUCAAAAAGGGAGAGAAUGAUCCAUCAUGGGAAGCGGGAUACACAGCAGACUCGUAGAAUGGCAGAUGCCCUAAACAGCACUCUGGCCUCAGAAUCAUCCCUUAAGGCAUUCGGAUCUGGCUGAAGAGCCCAUGAGAGUAUUUUAGGCAUGGAAAGCCAAGACACCCUGAAAAAAAAAAAAAAAAAAGAAGACCUAAAUGAAAGAUCUCUGUGAGUGAGAUCCCAGUGGAAAGAAUGGGGCCAUCAAGGAAGGAGGUACCUUUCUCUGAAGGGAAGAGAGAACUUCCACUUUGACUAUGACCCUGUCGGAAUAAGAUCGAACGCAGCAAACUCAAAAAGCUUCCAUAGCCUUGGCAACUCAUGACAAGAGCCUAGGUGUGGGGAGCAACUCGGACUAUACUAAGUUACUGGAAUUAAGACUUAUUCUAUGCAUCUGCUCUCCCACAAUAUGGCGCUGGGAGAGGAGGAAACAACUUCUACACAGCUGCCUCCAGUUCGACCAAUAACCUGCAGGAGCUGAUCCUGCUCCUGAUUGGAGGAGAGCAGCGUACUCGGCGUGUGGGUAGCAGAGUUGGGAUUGUUGGAAGAGGACUAUAAAGGAGGAGAGAGACAACAUGCACCAGGAACAUCUAAGGGAAACAUCCGGAUAACAUCUGAGCAGCCCCCGAGAGAGCCGGCCAGCGGUGUGCCGCUCGCCCGCGGAAGUGGAGAAAGUGGCAGGGGGAGCCGCCCUUCCAUGGAGGUGGGAGGGUCGGCAGCCAACCCGGGAAGAACCAGCAGCAAACCCGGGAAGGGCCGAGCAGACGAAAGAACAGCGCAGGGUCCUGUGUCGUUCCUCCGCGAAUGGGGGAGCGACACCUAGGGAGAUUACUGACGCCAUAAACAAGAGUGUCAAAUUGUUAAGUCAACAACAGGAGUCACUGUGUACUUACUCCUCAUGUGGAACCUGUCCUUAAUGUGUUGUCCAAUGUGAAGUAAUGCUAUAACUAGUACUGAAACAGUAUUUUGCACUUUGUUCUUCUGUGUGGGUGCAAACUGAUGAAAUCUUUACUUAAUACGUACUAAAUUGAUCUUUUGUAUAUAAAGAUAAUUGAAAAUGAAUCU